ensembl:lncRNA
GAAAUUCAGUAGACACCCACAAUUUUAUUCAUCUAUGUACCAAAAAUAACACAUCUUUGUUUGGGGAGCAUUACGAUUACAAUAUUGAAAAGUAAAAUGUGACAGAAUUGAAAAGACAUAAAGAGAACACAGCACAUAAAUAUAUUAUUAAAAGUGUAUUGCACAACUGGCUCAUAAUCAUUCCCGUUUAUGCUUUACAUGCUGGGAUAUACAUUAACAUAACAGAAUCUUGCUAAGCUGUGAUAUUAAUGUAACAGAGGCUCAUAGUGGAUGUAAUGAACUUGUAUAUCUCUAAUACAAAUACCAUAUUCAUUAGGGCUGCAGAGAUAAUCUUAUUUUAAUUGUGAUCAUCCAUUUUUUGCUUCCUCAAUUAAUCAAUUUUUUACUUCCUGUUUCAUAAAAUAAUGUAAUAUAUACAAGUUAACGAAUAUAGAAAUCUAAUAUACAAAGUGAAAGGAAAACCUUUUUUUCUGAUUUAAGAUAUUUUCAGGUUAGCUAUAAGAAAACCAUUUGAUUCCUAAAUUGGAUGAAAAUUGAGAUGUCAAUACUGAGCAAACUAAUCAUGAUUAUCAUUUUAGCUGUUAUUGUGCAACCCUAAUAUUCAUGGUAUUACCGGAAAUAUUACAUAUGGAAUUAUCAUCUACAUUUCUACAUUCAACACCAAAUGAAAGUGAAAUCAAGCUUCCAGCAGAUGUGGUAAUGAAAUGCGGUAAUGAAAUGCGAAAGGAACGUAUAUCCCAGUUAUAUUACAGUGUCAAAUGAUGUAAAGGUAGCUGUGACUUUAUGAGCUCCAACGGUGAAUCAACUGCAGACUCAUUACGCAGCUGAAACAUUAUAUGAUCUACUAAAUCACUUAGUUAAGAAACUGUAAUCUAUGUGACUGUCCUCCACAUACAAGCUAGAAUAAAAUCGCCACUGACAUGAAUUUGCAAUUUAGACCAACACAAGCUCAAUGUCAGAAAAUGCCCGAUAUUUCUACAAACACAAGAAAAUAUUUUUUGACUGUUUUCUGCACCAUAUAAGAGCUCAUUAAGCACAGAACCAUGCUCUUUUUAAAUUUUAUUUUGGUCCAUUAUGUUUGUGAGAGGAAGCAGGAAAACAUCAGCACUUUAGGCCUCACACUAUUCCCUAUUGAAAAAAAAAAAAGGUAAAUAUUUCACCACAGAGUGGCAGUAUAAAACAGAGAUGUAUUUGCCUCUACUUAGUGCAACAAUAUUCUCAUCAGUAUUGCAGCGUGAAUAUUGCAGAAACACAAGAGUUUCGACUUCUGAAUGUGUUCACGUUGACUAUACCAGAGCAAAAGACAAAAGCAAAAGACAUUUUGACAAUAUUAAUACAAUUACGAUCAUUUGAUAACUGCUAAGGCUGUACACUGAGGUACACGAAAAAGAUUAUAUGUCAUCAGGACUGCAGAGAAAGGUAGCUCUGAUUAGAAAACCAGUAAGAACAGUGACGACCACACCAGCAACAACAAACACUUUAAUACUCUCAGAACUGGUGUGGACAGCUACUAUAACACAAAAGUCAUGGACUGAGGCAUUUGUUUUCCAAUGCACACUCAUAUAUUCAACCACACACACACACACACACAGACACACACACACACACACAGACACACACACAUACACACAGACACACACACAAACAACUAUGGACAUAUGUAUUCACACAUUUUUGCACAUACAAAUGCAAAUUUCUGACUUUUCCACGUUAUACUUUUUCACACUUUCACACAGACUGAGA